rnacentral:lncRNA from 1 species
ACAAAUUUUGAGGUAGGUCAUUAAUAAAGAUGAGGAAAAGCAAGGGACCGAGGACGCUACCCUGUGGAACACCAGAACUAACGUCUGUUAUGGAGGAAGAG